rnacentral:rRNA from 1 species
AACGAACGCUGGCGGCAUGCCUAACACAUGCAAGUCGAACGAGACCUUCGGGUCUAGUGGCGCACGGGUGCGUAACGCGUGGGAACCUGCCCUUAGGUUCGGAAUAACUCCCCGAAAGGGGUGCUAAUACCGGAUAAUGUCUUCGGACCAAAGAUUUAUCGCCUUUGGAUGGGCCCGCGUUGGAUUAGCUAGUUGGUAGGGUAAAAGCCUACCAAGGCGACGAUCCAUAGCUGGUCUGAGAGGAUGAUCAGCCACACUGGGACUGAGACACGGCCCAGACUCCUACGGGAGGCAGCAGUGGGGAAUAUUGGACAACGGGCGAAAGCCUGAUCCAGCAAUGCCGCGUGAGUGAUGAAGGCCUUAGGGUUGUAAAGCUCUUUUACCCGGGAUGAUAAUGACAGUACCGGGAGAAUAAGCUCCGGCUAAUUCCGU